rnacentral:rRNA from 1 species
AAGGAGUGUGUAACAACUCACCUGCCGAAUGAAUUAGCCCUGAAAAUGGAUGACGCUUAAGCGGACAGCCGACACCACGUCGUCUGAUCAAAGUGGUUAUAUCAGAUGAGUAGGAGGGCGUGGCGGUCGUAUGGAAGCGUCGGUGCGAACCGGCGUGAAACGGCCGCUAGUGCAGAUCUUGGUGGUAGUAGCAAAUAUUCAAGUGAGAUCCUUGAAGGACGAAGCGGGGAAGGGUUCCACGCGAACAUUGAUUGAGCGUGGGUGAGUCGUUCCUAAGCCGAGUGGUCAUAGCUAAUUACCGGCGAAAGGGAAGCAGGUUGACAUUCCUGCACACGGAUGUGGAGGCGGUGACGCCGUAUUGAGGUGAUGACGUUGGCAGUGGCUCUGGGCAGAGUUUUCUUUUCUGUUUGACCGUCAAUGUGCGCUGUGUGGAAUCCGCUUGUCGGGAGAAACACGCGUGCACGGGCAGAGCGCCGGGGCUUUUCCGGCGUCCAGAUCGCCACUGACGACCCUUGAAAAAUCACCCGCUGAAUUUUUAAAAUUUCUUUUAAAAUACAAUCCACGCCGUGGCGUACCGAUCACCGCAUCAGGUCCCCAAGGUGAACAGCCUCUGUUCAAUAUGAAAAAUGC